rnacentral:lncRNA from 1 species
ACCUUAGCCACAUCAGAGUCAGUAUAUUUCCUUGGAAAUAUCAUCAUAACCCUGCAAAGAACAAUGUGCAUCAAACAAGCAACCACUUUAUGCUACAACAUCAUCAGGAUUAAAACAACAUAUUGAUACUCAGUGCUGGAUGAGACUAUACACAAUACCACUACGACAGAAUAGGCCGCCGCACGCCGUGGUGCACCAUCUUACACGAUCCGGCCUCAAGAAACCAGUAGCGCUGCUAGCUCCCUUGGCCCAGCUCCUUGCUGUGGAGGAUGGCCGAGACUCAGAUGCGGAGCUCCCUGCACAUGACAUAUUGUAUCAAUGCUUGCAGCAACAACAACAACUCACAUACCAUAGAACUUGUGUAAUAGUGUAUCAGCACCCCAAAGGAGGCAUUACAAAAUUCUCAAAGAAUGUUGCCAAAGGGAUUAACCUCACAGCAACCUGAAUAAACUACCACUGUUACCACUGUAGUGGCACCACCAUCCAUUCAACCAACUGGAUAUAACAAAUACCAAGUCAGGCAAGACACGCAGAUAACUAUGUUUGUGCAAAUCAGAUCUUCUGCAUAGAGCAGUACAUCCUAUUCAAAAGAAUACACAGACCUCAAGCUAUGUAACUACUGAAAGAAGAGGAAAUGAAUGCAAUUCUAUAUACACAAAAACACAUUUAGCAGUGUUAUACAUAGCAAAACUUUAGUAUUUCGUGGUACAAUGAAAGAGCAGUUCAGUUGAAGAAUUUUGAUUGCCAUUCUCAAUUUCACUACUUAAAGACAUAAUGUAACAAAUACUGGAUACUUCACAGCAAGCAAAUAGUGCAAUAAAUUCACUGGUCUAUGGAUGCGAUCAUAGAUUCACAUGAGGUGUGCGUGGAAUAUAGUGCAAAUAACAACGGAAAUUUAAAGAAGCUCGCUUCUUAACAAAGGCCUACCAAUCACUUCAACCUAACCUAAAAAUAACAGUAGAUAGACUGUUCCAUUACAUAGUACUGCUAUGUAAUUGAUACACAAAAGAAGAUACAUCUCCCAUGUUCAGCAAUCAGGAUCAACCAUGAAGCUUUCACUACUCCUACAUCAGUAAGCUUUUACUACUCCUGUUGCUAGUGUUCUAAACCAACAGAGCAAUGCUAUAGGAGUAGAAAAGAGAACUAGGGGUAGGAGAGGGAGCCUCUCACCGGAGAGCUUGUGGUCGCCGCCAUACACACCUGCCAUCACGCUGGUCGCCUCAAGAAGCACGGCUGUGCCGGAGACGCCACCAAACAUGCG